rnacentral:misc_RNA from 1 species
GCACUGCAUUCGAGCACCGUCAGCCCGACGCCUUUAAACCUCAUCUUCGACAUUGCCCAGCAUAGUGUAGGUUUUUCCUGCACUAUUGGCUCCUUGUUAGGAGAUCCAUCUGACGGUGCUCGAAUGCAGUGCGUCCAGACUCCAGCCAUCCACUAGAUUUCUUGAUGGGCAAGAAUGCACUGCUUUUCACUUACGGAGCCAAUAGUGCAGGAAAAACCUACACUAUGCUGGGCAAUGUCGAAGAUGCAGGUUUAAUUCUUCGUUCUUUGGAUGUUGUAUUCAACAGCCUGAAAGAUAGACUACUUAAGAAUCCUGUCCUAAAGCCACUCGCUCUUAAUGAAGUCAUGAAACUGAAUCAUAACCAAAUUGAAGCAGAAGAGUUGGAGAGGGCAAUUUUGAUGGAUGGAUUUCAUUUCCACUCUAAAACUAAGGAUAGCAUUUCCUCGGUUCCUUUUGGAUCAUUGGAGGAUUGGAAUAUUCAAGCUUGAGAAGAGACAGUUUGCCCUCUUCAACACCCUCAAGAUUAUUUUUCAGUUUGGGUAUCGUACUGCGAAAUUUAUAAUGAACAAGCCUUUGAUCUACUGGAUGGAUGUGACAAAAAGAAGAAACGAAUAGCCUUGCGUAUUACUGAUGAUUGCAAGAAGAAAUUCUUUGUUAAAGGCCUUAUUUAGAUUUGCGUCCGUUCUGCUGAUGAAGCUGUCCGAGUUUUGCUUUUUGGAAAAGAGAACUUACACUUUGCUGCUACCAAGUUGAACUACAAUUCCAGUCGAUCUCAUUGCAUCUUUACGGUUAAGUUAUUUCGAACAAACCAUUGCGACGAGGCAAGUGAAGCUGCCAUCCACAUGAUGUCCUUUGGCGAUCUUGCUGGAAUGGAACGAACAACAAAGACUCAAAGUAAAGGUGAACGGCUAAAAGCAGCCGGAAACAACAAUACUUCACUCUUGAUACUUGGUCGUUGCAUCGACGCUAUGAGAAGUAAUCAACAAUUCUCCAGUAAUAAAACAACAAUGAUUCCGUAUCGAGAGUCUAAAUUGACGCGAAUCCUGCAACACUUUUUUUCUGGUCAGGGUAGAGCCGCCAUGUUUGUGAAUGUCAGUCCCUCUGCAAACUUGUUUGACGAAACUCUUCGUGUUCUAGAAUUUGGCGCCUUAGCUCAAGAAAUAAUCAUUCAGCCGGAUCGUGACGCUUCAGUUUCUGAUAUAUCCAGUAGCCAAUUCGCUCCACCUUUGCGUCCAUCAAAGUUCCGACAGUACGUUCGCAAAUCAAUCAGUAUUUUAAGUGCCAGGGCGUCAGUGCUAGAAACGUCGACGUUCCAGGCCAUUGGCGAAGAAGAUGACCCUCAUAAACGCAUUCAAGAAUUAGAAGAAGAAAAUGCUCGGCCUAAAGCUGGCUGGAAAGAAAACGAACGGAAGUUUCGUGAUGAAUGUUGCAACGAAUGGAGGGAAGUUGUCACUAAGAUGGAAAAGUCGUGGAAUCAGCGAUAUGAAGCCUCCUUGAUCAGAUUUCACAUUUGAAAAAGGACAUCGAAAUUUCCAGUACUGGAAGGAAACACGACGAAGGUAGUCAUUCUUACUUAUUGGAAGAAAACGAAAGGAUGCACAAAAACUAUAUGCAAGACACUAAGGCUAAACUUACUAAAGAGAAUGCCGAAUUCCGGAAAAUCAUGGCGGAAUACGAGUAUACAAUGGAAGAACUAACUUCAGAUUGGUCAGCUGAAAACAAUCAAAUUUGAACGAGGUUUACUCGAGUAAGAGCUUAAAACUUUAGCCGCUACUCUCGCUCGGGUUCAACUGGGGAAGUCUCAAAUGGAAAAAGAAGUAGACCAGAUCCGGAAUGAGUGUCAGGUUUCAGAUGAACGAUACAGAAAGUUAAUAAUCGAAUUGGAAGAAAGUCGCAGUCGAGAAGCAGCGUUAAAAGAAGAGCUCAAACGUUUGAAGGAAGAUUUGAAAUGUGAACUAGAAAAGAAGAAAUGGAACAGCAAAACGAGCGUAUGUUGAUGGAGAAAAAUGGAAACAUAAAUCGUUUGGAAAAUGAUCUGAAGUCCAUAAUGAGCAAUCGUGUCAACAUUAAUGUGCCUGACAUAAAAGUAGAAGGUCCGGCCGAUGAUGAAUUGUUGUUAGGAGAUCCAUGGUCGAGUCUAUUGCACCGUCGGGCUGACGGUGCUCGAACGCUAUGGUGCGCCGUUUUUAGCAGCGAAAUACAAUACUUUUUUAAGCACACCCCUCCUACGUCUGCUACAGUCGUCUGUAAAGGGUGUAGUCUUUUGCCCAACGGCUAAUUUUGAACGAUAUAAAAGAAGACCCCAAUUCCAAUCUCUUCACUUGUUCACUGCAACCUCUGUCCACUACAAGCAUUAUCCCAACAUGAAAUUCUUGAUCAUCAGCUUCUUCUUGGCUUGCGCCUCCGCCCAAUGGGUUGCCCCAUAUUACAGCCAAUGGUCCCCAUACAAUACUCAGUUUACCAAUGACUUGUUGUCGAAGAGCGUUGACUUGAACAAGGACGGCCAACCCGAUGUCCCAGUCUACACCGCAGCCCCCGCUCUCUUGCCCAACUACUACCCCUACGCCGGUCUGAACUACCGCGCUGGAUUCCCCUACACUUACGGCGCUCCUUUCACCUACCCCUUCGUCCAGGCUGCCGCUGCUCCCGCCGCUGAGGUCAAGUCCACCCGCAGCAAACGUCAAGUUGCCGUCCUUCCCCACGACCCAGCUGAAUUCCUCAACGAUUUCCGUUACAAAAGCGUUGACCUGAACCAGGACGGCCAGCCCGACAACGCCGUUUACACUGCCCCAGUUGCUCCUAUCGCUCCUGCCCGAUUCGUCACUCCCUACCCUGGAUUCACUGGUUAUUACCCUCAAACUUACCCAUUCUUCAACGGAUUCUAUUAACUUAAUAGUCCGCCAACCCGCCAUUGAAAAUGAUCUGUUGUUAUAAUUGUUAUUACCUUUUUGUUUUGAAACUUUAAUUGUUUCUUACUUUCUGAUUACAAAAUUCAUACCGCA